UUGGGCAGGAAGCGAUGCCCAUGUCCUGCUCUCCAAAAUAGGGGCCUAUAAGUUAUUUUAUUGGGACAUCAAGAGGACUGGUCCCAACAUGGAGUUGGAAAGUGAGUCAAUAAAUGCACAUCUGGCUGUAUUGGUGCGUAACCAUAAUCGUGAAAACACAGCCAUGGCAGCAUUUAUAGACUCAUUUGCUAUGACAGCCAUCUGGAGCAGGGGGACUCCAAGACUCAAGAUGAAACCCCAGGAGUACAACAUUGUUGUGGGCAUUAUAAAUGACCAUCACCACUGGACACUAGCGGUAAUUUACCCAGGAUCCAAGAAGUCAAUAUUCUUGGAUCCGCUGGGAGAGUCCAAAAAAGACAUCCAAAGAUGUUUGGAAACAACAAGGGCAUUCAUGCGAAAAAAGGGAUGCAAUGUCUCAAGGUGGAGAUGUGAGACAGUCCAGCAUCCGAAACAGUCCGACUCCACCUCUUGUGGGGUCUUUGCCCUGAAAUUUGCAGAGCUACUUUUAAAAAAAACAAGAAGUAGAUUUUCCUGCAAAUCCACAGGACUUUAACCAAUACAGGCUGCAAAUCGCCACCACUCUCCUCCUACAGAGUGAUGACCUGACAGAGACGUGUCACUUUUGUGGGGAGGUGGAGCAUGCUUCGGACUGUAAUUGGAUUCAAUGUGACCUUUGCUGCCGUUGGUUCCACCAUUUCUGCGUUAAAAGCCCACCAACAGAGGGAUCAUUCAUUUGUUCCACAUGUGUGACAUGAACCCAAUUCUCUGUCCCUCUUUCCCCCUCUCUCUCUCUCUCUCUCCCUCCAGUGUAAUUUGUGCAUUUUGUAGUUGUUAAUUGUGUAUUUGAGGGCCUAAACAGACACUUGUUUUAGGUAAUGUUCUUUAUUAUAAUUUUCGUAAAGCCUAGUCCUUUUUCUAAGAUUUUGUGUAAUUUAAUUUUUUUUACAAGUCAGUUAGCGCUUGUUGGGUAAAGGCCUAUUUACUGUAUUGAUUUUUUUUAAACAGCUUUUGAACUUAAUAAAAAUCAAACCAAAAACACACUAACAUACAUGAUGACAGGACAGAUCUUUGCUUG